UUUUCAAAAGGUCCCUCCUAUUUCAAUUGACAGAGAUGUCAUUUUAAACAGCAUGAAAGAAACAUCUCAACUGCGCUCGUUCUUCAUAAGCACGUACUUUCACACGCCGGAAUCUGAUUUGCAGGAUGGAAGGCUGUUUAGCUCUUAUCACAAUCUGCACAAUGAAGAUCUGACGAAUUUGACUAUAAAUAAUUUUCGCAACGAGCUGGGGAGCAUCACAGUCUACCGCACCAACAUAGAUCCGGCCAGCAACACGCAACACACGGGACAAAACCAAUCCUCCGUAAAAUUCAUUAGCGCGACCAAGCUCUAUGCAGACAAGGGAUUUCGGAACAAUCGUAAUCUGAAGGUUGCAUUUCUGAUUUUUAUACAAAUAAUUUUCUGAAAAGUCUAGUUCAUUUCUGCUUCCAAAGCACCAGCCAAAACAGCUAAAUCACCUUAAAUUAUUGGAAACAGCACAAUAUUUCAAAUGCAAUUAUAUUUUUUCAGCUUGCAUUUGAUUUUGGAUUAACGGAACGCGC